GUUAUUACCGUCUCCCCGUCCACGCUGAAACA
rnacentral:scRNA from 1 species